GUGGUCCUAUGUUGGUGUGGUCUCAUGCUUGUCUCAAAGCUUAAGCCAUGCAAGUGUAAGUUCAUGCCGUAAACGAAUGGUGAAACCGCGAAUGACUCAGGAACCGGACCUAAUCCUCGGGACCGUAUUCUUCCACCGUGAGGAGAGUGGAUAACAGUGGCAAUUCUAGAGCUAAUACAUGCAACCGAAGCCGCGAUCGCAGGUCACACCCAGGCGUCGGGCUCGAAAACGGCGUUCGGCAGCCGGCUUCGCGGCAUCGCCGCCGUUC